GCCUGGGUGGCUCAGUUAGUUAAGCACAUGACUUCAGCUCCGGUCAUGAUCUCACAGAUCGCGGGUUUGAGCCCCGUGUCAGGCU
rnacentral:tRNA from 1 species